rnacentral:rRNA from 1 species
UACGGAGGGUGCAAACGUUGCUCGGAAUCAUUGGGCGUAAAGCGCACGUAGGCGGCCUGUUAAGUCGGGUGUGAAAGCCCUGGGCUCAACCCAGGAAGUGCACUCGAAACUGGCGGGCUUGAAUAUGGAAGAGGGUCGCGGAAUUCCCGGUGUAGAGGUGAAAUUCGUAGAUAUCGGGAGGAACACCAGUGGCGAAGGCGGCGACCUGGGCCAAUAUUGACGCUGAGAAGCGAAAGCAUGGGGAGCGAACAGG